ACCAAGAUGAUUCGUUAAAGGAGAACCAGGUAUUUAUGUGUGGAGAGAUUAACAUAUAACUAGCAAUAUGCUAGUGAAAAAUUUGUCCAAAAGUAAGUAAAGUUGCUCCCCUGAAGAUCAGCGUCUGCUCGGGGCAACUGUCAUGGACAUGGGUGAGUGCCGUGACUUGUGUGACAACAUAAGGUCAGAAAAGGUGACAGCAAGGUCACAAUGGAAGGGGCAGUCAAAUCCACCUAGGGAUGUUAAAGAAGAUAAGCCCUAAAUGAAGCACUGAAACAUUAUUAGGAUUUUUAUCAAGCACAACGUGGGAAUGAAUAUUCUAAGAAGCAUGGAUAGAUGUAGCUCUGAGGCCUCUGUCAGUGUCAUAGGUGGAUGAAGCAAAAGCAAAGGAAAGGAAAGCCCAUACGGGAAAGAAAACGGUUCCGAAGACAUACUUUAUGCUCCAAACGGCAAUUUGAUACAGCCUCAUGGAACAGUUCUGAAACAAAAAACUAUGGGUCUAGAAUGGUGCUUUAUUAGCCAAAGAGUGCUUGAGAAUCGCUUCAGAAGCUUUCCGCAGAUGUCCUGAGUUCCUGCCCAGAGAGUCUGACCUAACAGACGGAAGAAGGUCCCAGCAACCAUGCUCUGAAAGGGCUCUGCAUUCAAAGCAUGAAUGAGAAGUGGACUGGGUCCUAGACUGAGAGCUGUCUAGCAUACAAGUCUCUGAUGACUGCUACCUUUCUUUUUUUCUCAACUAUCUAUCAGAAGUUCCAAAAACCUCCUAAAAUUAUUUCACCAUUAAUUCCUUCCUUACUGUGGUAUACUCUGGGUCAAACUCGAACAAUGCCUGUACCAUUUACAUAUAAGCCGGCACUCAAAAUCACAGAGGUGGUGGAUUUUAUCCCUCUGAUAAACAUAACUCACUAGAAACGAAAAAUAAAUGUAGAGCUGGACUCACCCGUUCCACAGCCGCAUUAUGAUAUGGGAGCUCCUCCUCGCUGCAAAGGAAGAACAGUAAAUGUGAAAUAGUGGAGAUCACAGUAGCUUUUUAUUUUUAUUUAUUUAUUUUUUAAGCUUAUUUGAGAGAGAGCGAGCAAGAGAGAGAGUGCUUGCACGGGUGAGCAGGGACGGGGCAGAGAGAGAGGCAAAGAGAGAAUUCCAAGCAGUUUCCAUGCUGUUAGUGCAGAGCCUGAUGUGGGGCUUGAACCCAUGAACUGUGAGAUCGUGACCUAAGGUGAAAUCAAAUCGGACAUUUACCCAACUGAGCCACCCAGGACCCUCCACAGUGAACUUUUUAAAAAUUAUAUACCUACAGGUACCUAUGAUAUACGACCAUUUAUCUGUCAUCACAAGAAUGGAUCAAACUACAUAAGCUUCCACUCUACCAAAUUCAAUAUAAAACAACUGGCUAUUUUGUAACCACAAUGGCCCCUCUCUUUAAAUCUCUAGACAUACACUGUCCAAGACAGUCAUUUCUAGCCACAUGUAGCUAUUUAAUCUUAAAUGUUAAAUUCAGCCACAGUACAAGCGCAAGACAGUCAUGUUGACAGAGGCUACUGUUUUCAAUAGUGUGUAUAUAGGAAGAAUGGUCUUAAAAUUGCCAAAAAGUCCUACUGGACAACACUGCUGUAGACAGGAGGGCAGGAACCUUCUUCUGUGAAGGUAACCAUUUAAACAGUAAAUAUAUUAGGCUUUGCAGACCAUACAGCCUUUUUCAUGACUAUUAAACUCUGAUGCUGUAACGUGCGAGCAGACAUAGACAAUAUGAGGACGGCAUGCAGUUUUAGUCCCGCAAAAUGUUUACAGAAACAGGUAGUGAGCUGAAGGUGACCCCCUACUCUAUACCGUCUCCUCAACUCUCUGGUUCAAACCAUGGCCUAUAACAAAUGAUUGGCUAAAAAAAAAUGGUAUAAGGAAACAAAAUUACCUCCAAUAGAUUGAUGAAUUAAAAAGAAAAAUCUAGGGGCACCUGGGCGCUCAGUCGGUGAAGUGUCCGACUUCAGCUCAGGUCACGAUCUCACAGUUUGAGGGUUCCAGCCCUGCGUUGGGCUCUGUGCUAAUAGCUCAGAGCCUGGAGCCUGCUUCGGAUUCUGUGUCUCCCUUUCUCUGACUCGCACUUUGUCUGACUCCCCCACUUGCACUUCGUCUCCCUCUACCAAAAUAAAGAAGCAUUAAAAAAAAAAAAAUUAAAUGAAAAGAAAAAUCUAACUCUAUAAAUCAGGAAAGCUUCAUCUGCCAAAACUUCAAUGGGGAAGAGAUUUUUAAAUGUACAACAAAAGAUGAAAUUCAUUUUUCUAAUACUGUAAUUCUGUGAUA